UCCGUUUUGACAACGGCAGUCUCGUUAGAGUCCCCGGCAUUACCCGCUGGCAACAUGAAAUAAGGGUUGCGCUCGUUGCGGGACUUAACCCAACAUCUCACGACACGAGCUGACGACAGCCAUGCACCACCUGCACACAGGCCACAAGGGAAACGACAUCUCUGCCGUCGUCCUGUGCAUGUCAAACCCAGGUAAGGUUCUUCGCGUUGCAUCGAAUUAAUCCACAUGCUCCGCCGCUUGUGCGGGCCCCCGUCAAUUUCUUUGAGUUUUAGCCUUGCGGCCGUACUCCCCAGGCGGGGCACUUAAUGCGUUAGCUUCGGCACGGAGGGAGUCGACACCCCCCACACCUAGUGCCCAUCGUUUACAGCGUGGACUAC
rnacentral:misc_RNA from 1 species